rnacentral:rRNA from 1 species
UCCUGGCUCAGAAUCAACGCUGGCGGCGUGCCUAACACAUGCAAGUCGAACGCGAAAGCCCCGCAAGGGGUUAGUAGAGUGGCAAACGGGUGAGUAACACGUGGGUGACCUGCCUUCGAGUGGGGGAUAACGUCCCGAAAGGGACGCUUAAUACCGCAUAACAUCCCGCCUUUGAAGAGGUGGAGAUCAAAGCUGGGGACCGCAAGGCCUGGCGCUCAAAGAGGGGCCCGCGUCUGAUUAGCUAGUUGGUGAGGUAAUGGCUCACCAAGGCAACGAUCAGUAUCCGGCCUGAGAGGGCGGACGGACACACUGGGACUGAGACACGGCCCAGACUCCUACGGGAGGCAGCAGUGGGGAAUUGUUCGCAAUGGGCGCAAGCCUNANGACGCAACGCCGCGUGGAGGAUGAAGACCUUCNAGGUCGUAAACUCCU